AUGCACGCUGGCGGCGUGCCUAAUACAUGCAAGUCGAGCGAACAGACGAGGAGCUUGCUCCUCUGACGUUAGCGGCGGACGGGUGAGUAACACGUGGAUAACCUACCUAUAAGACUGGGAUAACUUCGGGAAACCGGAGCUAAUACCGGAUAAUAUAUUGAACCGCAUGGUUCAAUAGUGAAAGACGGUUUUGCUGUCACUUAUAGAUGGAUCCGCGCCGCAUUAGCUAGUUGGUAUGGUAACGGCUUACCAAGGCAACGAUGCGUAGCCGACCUGAGAGGGUGAUCGGCCACACUGGAACUGAGACACGGUCCAGACUCCUACGGGAGGCAGCAGUAGGGAAUCUUCCGCAAUGGGCGAAAGCCUGACGGAGCAACGCCGCGUGAGUGAUGAAGGUCUUCGGAUCGUAAAACUCUGUUAUUAGGGAAGAACAAAUGUGUAAGUAACUAUGCACGUCUUGACGGUACCUAAUCAGAAAGCCACGGCUAACUACGUG
rnacentral:rRNA from 1 species